CUUUACGAAUUUCCUUUGACUAGGAAUCCAUAGCGGGUGCGAGACCCGUGCGUAUUGCCGACUUUCUGUACGCGGUUAUCUCUUGGAGUAGGGUUGUUUGAGAUCGCAGCCCUAAGUAGGUGGUAUACUUCAUCUAAAGCUAAAUACGACUACGAAUCCGAUAGCAAACAAGUACCGUGAGGGAAAGUUGCAAAGUACUUUGAAGAGAGAGUUCAAGAGGACGUGAAACCGAUAGGAUGGAAGCAGAUGAAGUUGACGAACGUGUGUCGUAUUCAAAAUCGCUUUUAGCGGUUUGUUUUUACGGCCGAUGUGGGCUGGCGGCUUUGGUCAAUGCAACGCGUCUAGCGUCGAAGGUGACCCUGCGGAGGGAUAAUCAAUCGGCGUACGGUGCUUGGUAUGGCUAAGGUUUCGCCGGUCUUAAAGUCAGUGCCUCAUCUGACCCGUCUUGAAACACGGACCAAGGAGUGUAGCGUUUGCGCAAGUCUUAGAGUGUAUCGAAACUUUGAGGCGAAACGAAAGUAAAUGCAGUUUAAUCUGCUGACUUGGGAUGCAUUGUCUCUUGUGGACGGCGCUGGACCAAGGUUUUAUCGCGAUCGCNUGCGGUGCGGUGAAAAUAGAGCGUAAACGGUGCGACCCGAAAGAUGGUGA
rnacentral:rRNA from 1 species